rfam:Triticum urartu cultivar G1812 contig1160092, whole genome shotgun sequence.
GGAUGCGAUCAUACCAGUACUAAAGCGCCGGAUCCCAUCAGAACUCUGAAGUUAAGCGUGCUUGGGUGAGAGUAGUAUAGGAUGGGUGACCUCCUAGGAAGUCCUCGUGUUGUAUUCC